CUGCUACCAUUUGCAAAUGGGUCUUUGAAAUCAAUUAUGUGCCUUUAAUAUUUUAGCACGGUUGCCUAUGUAAUGAUACACUUUGUCGGCAAGCUUCCUUAUUCACGAUGGUGUUGCCAAAGCUCCACUCGCCGCCAAUACGAGUCAAGAGGAGGAGGAGGGGAAAGUGAACGAGGGUUGUUCAAUAGUUCCCCUUUUGACGUCACCUGCCGCCGGUGGAGACAGAGACCGUGGCGAGUUUGACUGGGGCGGGCGUCCGUCGCCUGCCCGAUUAGCCGCCUUGUUCGUGUCAGCACUUUGAAGUCAUCACCAUCCUCCUUCCCAAGAGCUUAUCGUCUGGCCGCAGACAUGAGCGACAGGCUGGGAGACCUCGGCCCCAAGCAGGUUGAAGCACUGCGACAGUUCCGGGAGAGGAUUCAAGACGUUCUUGCUCAACUUCCUGCCCAGCAUGACCACUUUCUGCUCCGCUGGCUUCGAGCCAGAAACUUCAACGUGCAGAAGUCGGAGGCCAUGUUGCGAAAGCACAUUGAGUUCAGGAAGCGAAUGGAGGUGGACAGCAUCAUCAGUGACUGGCGGCCUCCCGAGGUGAUUGAAAAGUACCUGUCGGGCGGCAUGUGCGGCUACGACCACGACGGCAGCCCAGUGUGGUACGACGUGAUUGGACCCAUGGACCCCAAAGGUCUGUUCCUGUCCGCCUCCAAGCAGGACUUCAUCCGCUCCAAGAUCCGUGACUGCGAGAUGCUGCAGCGAGAGUGCCUGGCGCAGUCGCGAAAGUUGGGCAAGACGGUGGAGUCCAUCACAAUGAUCUAUGACAUGGAGGGCUUGGGACUCAAGCACCUAUGGAAGCCUGCCAUCCAAACCUACGGAGAGAUCCUACAGAUGUUUGAGGACAACUAUCCAGAGGGCCUCAAGAAGCUUUUUGUCAUUAAGGCUCCCAAACUCUUCCCGGUGGCUUACAACCUUGUCAAGCACUUUCUGAGCGAGAUCACGCGGCAGAAGAUCUUCAUCCUGGGCGCCGACUGGCAGCAAGUGCUCCUGGGGCACAUCGACGCCGAGCAGCUGCCCGUCGUUUACGGCGGCAAACUGACGGACCCCGACGGAGACCCUCGCUGUCGGACCCGGAUCAACCACGUGGGUCCGGUCCCGCCCUCCUACUACGUGCGGGAUCAUGUGUUAGUGGAAUACGAUCAGUGUUUGACUGUCAGUCGUGGGUCCACGCGACAACUGGAUUAUGAGAUUCUCUUUCCGGGAUGCAUCCUCAGGUGGCAGUUUUGCAGUGAGGGUGCCGACAUUGGUUUCGGCAUUUUCCUGAAGGCCAGAACGGACGAGUGGAAAAAAGCGGCCGAGAUGGAGACAGUGGUGCCGAGUCAGCGCUACAAUGCUCACCUGGUGCCUGAAGACGGCUCGCUGACAUGCGAGCACCCCGGCGUGUACGUGCUGCGAUUCGACAACACGUACAGCAUCUUCCAAGCCAAGAGGAUCAGCUUCACGGUCGAGGUUUUGCUGCCAGACCGUUUGAAGACAGGCCGUUGCGACGUCCAAUCAAAAUAAAGACUCAACAGAAAGCACCCAAUCGUAACCAAGAAUAUCACAUCGGAGGACAGGGACGGCAGCGCCUCCUUGUGGCAGCACUAGCGCUACACCAACCACAGGAAGCGCCCGUUUCUAUGGAAACCAGGUAGCACAAACUUUCUCUUCCCUCUGGUUGGCGAUUUUAAAAAAUGAACAAAGAUCAUUCCAAAUAUCACAUGGCACGCCUGCGCAUUGAACUGGAGCAAGAACGAGAAAUGAAGUGAGUUAUUUUCUUACCGUUUGAUUUCCCCCUGUGUUUGUACCCCCUCACCCCCCAGAGACUUUUGGCGAUUUUAAAAAAUGAGCAAAGAUCAUUCCAAAUAUGACAUGGUACGCCUUCGCAUUGAACUGGGGCAAGAACGAGAAAUGUACCGAGUUAUUUUUUACUAUUUGAUUUCCACCGGUGUUUGUAACCCCCCCAGAGGCAUGCUGGAAGAGUCGGUACGGGACCUGCGGUGCACCACGAGGGAACUUCAAGACAGACUUCACGGUGUCGACGGGGAAGACAACGAGUGGAAGACCAGAUAUGAAACUCAGACUGAGCUGAACGCACAGCUACAAAGGCAACUCGCUCUCGUCCACGAGAGGAUGCAAGACCUGCGUGGGAACCCAGUGGGUGAGGUGACAUUGUCUUCGAACGAGGAUGAAUGUAAAUAUGUUGAUCUUGCACGCUGCGUGUCAGAGUAGUUGGGCGACGUCGCCACUUCUUGGGAUUAGGACUGCAACGAUUUUUGAUUGACAUUAACAAAUGGUUUGGGGAUUAAGCUGUUACUUUAUGGGCGAUCCUGUGAAGUCCACUUUAUUCAUUAUACAAUUAACGUUUUCGAGCCCUGUCACAAAUGGUGACAGUGCGCGAAUAGUUGACGCUCUCUACCAAAAAUUGUUUGUAAUCGAACGUGACAAGAUGGCACCGGUGUUAUAUGUCUAGUUGCUCCCAUGUUAUCUUGCUCCCCGUAUCGAUUUACGACUGUUAUGGUAAAGCGAUUUUGUGUUUCGCGACUGAAGAUUCGUCACAAGCGACUUGGAAGUUGCCUGACUGCAAAACUGUUCAACUUCUCAAUAAAAAAACGCUGAACGAAA